rfam:Heligmosomoides polygyrus genome assembly, scaffold: HPBE_contig0001289
GCGCCGGUGGUGUAAUGGCGUAGAGCAUUCUCGUCCGGUUAGAGCGAGGUGCGGGUUCGAGUCCCGCCUGGCGCU